AUUGAACGCUGGCGGCAGGCCUAACACAUGCAAGUCGAACGAGUGGCGGACGGGUGAGUAAUGUCUGGGACACUGCCUGAUGGAGGGGGAUAACUACUGGAAACGGUAGCUAAUACCGCAUACCAUCAGAUGUGCCCAUAUGGGCUUAUCUCGGUGGUGGGGUAACGGCGCACCAAGGCGACGAUCACUCGCUGGGCUGAGAGGAUGACCAGCAACACUGGAACUGAGACACGGUCCAGACGCCUACGGGAGGCAGCAGUGGGGAAUAUUGCACAAUGGGCGAAAGCCGGAUGCAGCCAUGACGCGUGUAUGAAGAAGGCCUUCGGGUUGUAAAGUACUGUCAGCGGGGAGGCGUUACCCGCAGAAGAAGCACCGGCUAACUCCGUGCCAGCCGCCGCGGUAAUUC
rnacentral:rRNA from 1 species